rnacentral:rRNA from 1 species
UACGUAGGGUGCGAGCGUUGUCCGGAAUUAUUGGGCGUAAAGAGCUUGUAGGCGGUUUGUCGCGUCUGCUGUGAAAAUCCGGGGCUCAACCCCGGACUUGCAGUGGGUACGGGCAGACUAGAGUGUGGUAGGGGAAACUGGAAUUCCUGGUGUAGCGGUGGAAUGCGCAGAUAUCAGGAGGAACACCGAUGGCGAAGGCAGUUCUCUGGGCCGUAACUGACGCUGAGGAGCGAAAGCGUGGGGAGCGAACAGG